GGGUCCCGGCCCCGCUGCUCGGUGCGCGGCGGCGGCGGCACCGGGAGCGGCGGCGGCGGCUGGGGCGCGUCGGCCCCGCAGCUGCGGCUCGUUGCGCUCCGCUCGGCCCCGCUCCGCCCGGCCCGGCCCUUAACAGCGGCGCGGUCCCGGGACGCCGCAUGUGAGCCGGGAGGGCAGCGCCGCCCCGCACCGCCCUGCACCGCCCCCGCGCACCGGCACCGCACCGGCACCCCUGGCCCGGCCCCGCGGAGCUCCGGAGCAGCCGGCACCACUACCCUAACCGACCCCGGCACCCCCACCAUGAGCAACCUCAACAAGGACACCGAGCACACCAACGGCAGCGGCAACGUCGAGGAGGAGGUCCGGACGCUGUUUGUCAGUGGACUUCCUGUGGAUAUUAAGCCCAGAGAGCUCUACCUACUCUUCCGACCAUUCAAGGGUUAUGAAGGGUCACUGAUCAAGCUCACUUCAAAGCAGCCAGUUGGUUUUGUGACCUUUGACAGCCGUGCUGGUGCUGAAGCAGCAAAGAAUGCCUUGAAUGGCAUCCGCUUCGACCCAGAGAACCCCCAGACCUUGCGGUUAGAGUUUGCUAAAGCCAACACAAAGAUGGCCAAGAGCAAGCUGAUGGCCACACCAAACCCCACCAACAUCCACCCUGCCUUGGGCGCACACUUCAUUGCACGGGACCCCUAUGACCUGACUGGAGCGGCUCUUAUCCCAGCCUCCCCAGAAGCGUGGGCUCCCUACCCGCUCUACACCACGGAGCUGACCCCCGCCAUCCCCCAUGCCGCCUUCACCUACCCGGCGGCCGCCGCCGCGGCUGCUGCUCUUCACGCUCAGUGAACUCCAGCCAUGAUGCCAGCGCAGGCUAGCCCCGAAGCUCAGAGCUGUCCCCGGAGAUGGGACGCCCUAGUGAUGCCUUAUUGCAGCUAGUGGAGUGGCUGUCCCACAGCUCCAUUCCUAGAAGUGUUAAGCAUGAUGGCAGCCACGUCUGGAAAGACUGGUAAGAUGCGUUGGUAUCCUCCCUCCGAAGCUACCCAGCAAGGAUGGAAGUCUCGUCAGUUUUGUUAGUUUGUUAGUAACGUCUCUCCUCGGCUCGCGCUCCUCCUCCCUGCCCCUUGGCCGAGGGAUGUGCCAGGGAUGACGGCUCCAAGUCUUCUCGCUUCGGUUUGCGGACAAGGCGCCGGGCCCCGCCGCACUCCCCCCGGGGCUGCUGGCGUCCCCCUCCCCGGACUGUGAAGCCACCGCGGCCCAACGCCACAGGCCGUGCGCCGCCUCCAUCCCUCCACCCUGCGUCCAUCCCCGCAUCCCUCCGUCCCCAGGACCUCCUCCCCGACCGAGCUUCGCCGUCCGGCUGUGCCGAAACCCGGCCAGGGGCGCUCGGUCCUGGGCUUCCCCGGGCUCGCCCUGCCCCAGCGGCUCGGCUGAAGGCAAUGAAAGGCAAAUGGGUUUUGCAUGUUUUCUGGCAUGAAUUAAAACACUUAACUUGUGUCCGUGUGAGUGUAAGUUUGUUUGUUCUAGCGUUUGUGUAACCGUUAGCAACAGGUCUUGGCCCAACGGAUUGAUCCAUCAAGGUUUUCAUCUUGCUUCGGUGAAGACUUGGCUUUGAGAAAUACUAACUGUCCUUGUCUCACCCCUUCUCCCACCUCCGCCCUCCCCAUCCCAGUACAACCAGAAGAAUUUGAAAAAUGGGUUUUUUGUUGUUUUUUUUUUUUAAGUAUGAUGCACUGGGUUUCUGUUCUCAUCCAUUCUUCUCCAGUUUUAAAGUCAGGGUUAUUAUAUUAAUUUUCUCUUCUUCUUCAGACUUCUAUAUAUAGAAUGGCUGUAGAAUACCUAACUUUUUGUUCUUUUAAUUUCCACCUCCUUCUGAUUGGAGAGCAUCCAGUCCUGCCAAAUAAUCAGCCAUCCUUAUGGGAAUACCGAACAAAAAAAGAAGUACGAGUAUUUUUGUACCAUGUGUAAUAAGGAAAUAUUUAUGCAUCAUAAAGACUUUGUGUGUUUGUGUGCAAUUAAUUAUUAUUAUUAUUAUUAUUAAAGAUAAAUUGUAAUCCUGUAAGAUAAGUUAAUGUUUAGUUAAAAGCUUGAAAGAGAAGGGUUGUCUUCUGUACCAAUGAUUCAGUCAGGCAUAGUAAAUGAGAAAUUGUGCAAUUUUUGUUUUAGCAUCUUAUUGCUUGGUAUUGAAGUGCUUUAAGUAUUAUAUGACCAUGGCUGUCUCGCUUGUAUUAAAAGAUUUGAGAGUAAGUUGCUAUAUAAUUGCUGAUCCUAUGAGAAUGUGAAACUGGAUAAUAUAUGAAAUGCAACAAAAAAAAAAGAAAAAAAUAUACCCAGAGGCUGCUGUGACUCUU